UACAGAGGGGGCGAGCGUUGUUCGGAAUCACUGGGUGUAAAGCGUGCGUAGGUGGUUUGUUAAGACAGGUGUGAAAUCCCCGGGCUUAACCUGGGAACUGCGCUUGUUACUGGCAGACUUGAGUGUGGCAGAGGGGGGUGGAAUUCCAGGUGUAGCAGUGAAAUGCGUAGAUAUCUGGAGGAACACCGAUGGCGAAGGCAGCCCCCUGGGCUAACACUGACGCUGAUGCACGAAAGCGUGGGGAGCAAACAGG
rnacentral:rRNA from 1 species